UUUCUUUUAAUGGCAAUUAUUAAUUAUUUGAACUAUACAUUUAACUAAACAUCAGAACAUUUAUUUACAAUACAUAAUAAUUAUUCAGGACAACUACCCACAAAGUGUGCCGUUUUUGUCACUGCAGUGAAUUUUCCUGGCCUUCUGGAAGAACAUUUCCAUGGCCUUUUGAUAAGGGAAGUCAGAAACUUCUGGCCCAUUUAUCGAGAGCUACAUGCAGGCUGUAAGACGGUCUCCUUGUAGCCUAUUGCGGAUGUUUGUCUUGACCUGCAAAUACAUUAACUGUUAUGCUUUAAAAGUGAUAUCUGAUAUCUUAAAAAUAGUGAUAACUUAAAGCAGCAAAUCCCAUUGUGAAAAGUAUUUAUUACCCUGUUCAUGGUUGAGAAGUCCCUUGCACAGUUAACACUGCUGACUGGGACUGUCAGGGCAAUGGAAGCCAGUAGGCUUAUAUGUGGGUACAAGACACCAUGCUCCUGAUAUUAUGAGGAGAAUUCGGACAAUAUGGCUAGCUCUGUCUUGUUCUGAAAAUGUUCAAAAUGAAAAUCAGUACAGAGUGUAGUGUUCAUGAAAAUGUCAUGUGAAAAUAACAUUUUAAGUUACCUUGAGUGGGCCAGAGACCACUUGCUCCUUGAAAGAGGCCCAUUCUUCAAGGACUGUGCCAAAAUCGACACUGGAACAAAACUUAUUCACCAGUAUCCUCAGUUUUGUGUGUGCAGUGUCGUCAGGAAGUGUAGCUGCCUGUGGGCAGAAUAUCCCAAAUGCAGCCACGACUCCAACCUCACAGAAGCGUCUCCCGAGAUUGACAAUGAGGCCAUCCAAAUAUGGAUACACUACCUGAUCAAGCACAGGGAAAAUAGAUGCAGAAUGCCCCCAGUCCUGCAGGGUCAUCCAAAUUCUGGGACAGCUUACUCAGGUGUGAGCCAGGUUGAUGACCACCAGAAUCGUUUAUGCCCUUUAUUAAGGAAAAAUAAAUAAGCACAUUGACUCAUGUGAAAAUAUUUUUUGUGGUACCUAUGUUUGUGCAAAAAUAAACAAGAUAAAACAUA